rnacentral:rRNA from 1 species
GGGGGGGGGGGGGGGGGGGGGGGGGGGGGGGGGGGGGGGGGGGGGGAGGGGGGGCUGGCGCCUGGGACGUUAGCGGCGGACGGGUGAGCGACGCGUGGGGAACGUACCUAUACGAGUGGGAUCACUUCGGGACACCGGAGCGAAUACCGGCUACUAUAUUGAUCCGCAUGUUUCAAUAGUGAAAGUCGGUCGUGCUGUCCCUUAUAUCUGGAUCCGCGCCGCAUUAGCUAGUUGGUAAGGUAACGGCUUACCAAGGCAACGAUGCGUAGCCGACCUGAGAGGGUGAUCGGCCACACUGGAACUGAGACACGGUCCAGACUCCUACGGGAGGCAGCAGUAGGGAAUCUUCCGCAAAGGGCGAAAGCCUGACGGAGCAACGCCGCGUGAGUGAUGAAGGUCUUCGGAUCGUAAAACUCUGUUAUUAGGGAAGAACAAAUGUGUAAGUAACUAUGCACGUCUUGACGGUACCUAAUCAGAAAGCCACGGCUAACUACGUG